GAUCAUGGCUCAGGAUGAACGCUAGCGACAGGCUUAACACAUGCAAGUCGAGGGGCAUCGGGGAGUAGCAAUACUCUGCCGGCGACCGGCGCACGGGUGAGUAACGCGUAUGUAACCUGCCUUAUACAGGGGGAUAGCCCAUGGAACGUGGAUUAAUACUCCCAUAGUAACAAAAGUAUCGCAUGGUUAUUUUUAGUUAAAGCUUCGGUGGUAUAAGAUGGACAUGCGUCCUAUUAGGUAGUUGGUAGGG
rnacentral:rRNA from 1 species